UACGUAGGUGGCAAGCGUUGUCCGGAUUUACUGGGCGUAAAGAGCGCGCAGGCGGUCGUACAAGUCGCGUGUGAAAGCCCCCGGCUCAACUGGGGAGGGUCACGCGAUACUGUUCGACUCGAAGGCAGGAGAGGGAAGUGGAAUUCCCGGUGUAGUGGUGAAAUGCGUAGAUAUCGGGAGGAACACCAGUGGCGAAGGCGGCCAGCUGGCUCUGACCUGACGCUGAGGCGCGAAGGCGUGGGGAGCGAACGGG
rnacentral:rRNA from 1 species